UAUAUUGUAAAGACAAACUUUUAUUUUGGAUGCGAUUAAUCGUGAUUCACUAAUAUCAACACAACAUCGUUAUGAAUUAAAACAGAAUUGAUUGCUUGAGAAGAACUUCAUAAUGCAAUAUCAAAUGCUUGCAUGCUAUAUAUUAUUACUAGUUUAGUAAACCUACCAUAUAUCGAAUGCGAACGUUGUGAUAGGAGAAAUGUUUAAACAGCAUUGCUUCUCCAAAAUGCAGUAAGCAGUAAUCUAUUUAUGAUAAUAAUAAUAAAGCUACAAGAGAAAGUUCAUGUUUUUUUCACAGAUUCAUUGUUUUGUCUGCCAGCUCUUCCUCACACAUCUCACAUAUCUAAUGGUACUUUGAUAUAAAGAGAUACUUGAUAAACUAUAUGCAUAAAUAAUAAAAAUGCCUUUCUGUGAACAUAAAACAAAUUAAAUGCAUGCAGAGGGUGAAUAUACUGUAGAAUGUUCUGAGAAACACAAAAAUAAUCAAGUCACUUCUGAAAAGUAAUUUAAUAUACUGAACAUGUGCAAAUCUACAGCAGAACAUCUUUAAAACAGUCAUUGAUAUACAAUAGUCUGCUAUAUUUAUGGAAGGCAGGAAGUCCAAACACAACAAAUUAUUUAUGUUUUAAUAUUCAGGAACAUCGUGACUACAACUGUGAUAUUUUCUCUGGAUAGCAUCUCAACUCUUAAAACAUUUAUAUUUACAUUAACACAUAAAGCUAUAUUUGAAUUUACAAAAGUGAAUCAUUCUGUUAUCAUUCAAAACAACAUACGUGCUUCAGGAAGAUAUACGUUUUAACUUCUUAAAGCUCUACUUUAGAUCUUAUUCAAAACAAAAAAGCGAAUAUUUACAAGCCAAUUUCUUGAUACUUCGAUAUUAUUUCAGAGACUUUAACAUGGCAUUUGUCACAAAGUAGUUUAGAUAUAAAACAUGACUGUGAACAAAAAGAUGCUUUAUGGACCGUGUGACUGUUCAUAGCUAUUUUUGUACCGUGGGCUUGGAGCUUCUGAGGAGCUCUGUGGCUGAGAUUCGUUCACUGCAACUAGCCUUGGCACUUCUUGUCCUUCUCAGAAAAGCCAUGAAGUUGUCAUUUUGAGAACUGAUUUUGGAAGCUCCACUGCCGAGUGUCUGAGUGCCAGGGUCACCAUCACCCUGCUUAUUUUCGAAGGAGUCUUUACGACCCAGGAGCUUUCUUUUAGACCUGCAAAAUGGGAAAACAGUAUGAAAAAGAACAGAAGCCUACUCCAAAACAAGACUGGAGCUGUACUGGAAACUACAGUAUUUACCUGUGAAUUAUGGUGAAUAGGUCCUCUGUCGUUUGAGAUUUGGACUUGUAAAGAAACACAUCGUCUUCCUCUCCUACCAGUUGUAGAGGUCCAAGGUCGGGCGUUCGGUCCCUCUUCUCUACAUCAUAAGUUGAAUGAUCUGUUG
ensembl:lncRNA